AUUGAACGCUGGCGGCAGGCUUAACACAUGCAAGUCGAGCGGAGAUGAGGUGCUUGCACCUUAUCUUAGCGGCGGACGGGUGAGUAAUGCUUAGGAAUCUGCCUAUUAGUGGGGGACAACAUUCCGAAAGGAAUGCUAAUACCGCAUACGUCCUACGGGAGAAAGCAGGGGAUCUUCGGACCUUGCGCUAAUAGAUGAGCCUAAGUCGGAUUAGCUAGUUGGUGGGGUAAAGGCCUACCAAGGCGACGAUCUGUAGCGGGUCUGAGAGGAUGGACCGCCACACUGGGACAGAGAGACGGCCCAGAGUCCUACGGGGGGCAGAGGUGGGGAAUAUUGUACAAUGGGGGGAACCCUGAUCCAGCCAUGCCGCGUGUGUGAAGAAGGCCUUAUGGUUGUAAAGCACUUUAAGCGAGGAGGAGGCUACUGAGACUAAUACUCUUGGAUAGUGGACGUUACUCGCGGAAUAAGCACCGGCUAACUCUGUGCCAGCAGCCGCGGUAA
rnacentral:rRNA from 1 species